rnacentral:rRNA from 1 species
UGCGUAGGCUGGACAAUCAGUCAGUGGUGAAAUCCUGCGGCUUAACCGUAGAACUGCCAUUGAUACUGUUGUCCUUGAGUAUAGUUGAGGUGGGCGGAAUGUGUAAUGUAGCGGUGAAAUGCAUAGAGAUUACACAGAACACCAAUUGCGAAGGCAGCUCACUAAGCUAUAACUGACGCUGAGGCACGAAAGCGUGGGGAGCGAACAGGAUUAGAUACCCUGGUAGUCC